AGCGCAAAUAGUCUUGCAGCAGGUAGGGCACGGGUCAUUAAUAAGCCGUGGCAGUGAGUCCUGUUUAUGAAAGACUCGGACCCAUAUAUUAUAUUAACAUGCCAUGCCAUUUUAUAGCAACAAUUCCAACAUUCCAGAACGAGUAAAUUAAAAUUGCAUAAAUCGUAAGUGUUUGUAAAAACGGUCAUUGAUAACGGAAUAGUGUGAUUAUACUUAACAAGAAGCUCGACCAAGGUUGGUAAUGUUAUGUAUUGAUAUAUUUAUUUAUUUAUCUAUUUGCGGUAUUGCUACUUACGUACGGUAAUUUGCUAUUGUUAUGCAACAGUAACACUUAUCCAUAUUAUAAAUAAGACAAAAAGAUGGAAGGACUAUGAACCGAGAUAAGAAUUGGAUAGAAACAUGUACCAAGAUAGUCCGCGGUCAUAUAGGGUACUUGUAAAAGGACAUCAAAAAGAGAACAGGAUUGUUUAUCGAUGUUUGCAUGAAAACCUUUAAAUAUGCCCUGCAGUCUGAGGUUCCACAGCUCUGAGUACACAUCUAAGGUUUUGUUGAUAAUACCUGUAACCGGGCUAAAUUAACUAUUUCAUUAUAAGAUUUAUGUAGAUAUACUUUUUAUAAACUAUAAUAAUCUAUUUUUUGGGAUUUUUUGGAAGGUAAAUACUGGAACGGGGUGUGAUUGAAAAUAGUUAGAUAUGUACACAGCUGCUAAGUAAGCAAACGGUCGCAAGCGUUGAUGUCACUCCCACGACAACCAGGUGCGGUGUCGUAUGUUCGGAUGGACCGGGGCGAACAUGAUCAUCGCAAACGUGGUUGGCAACGUGACCGGCAAGCGACCUGGCAGCACCGAGAACACAGACCCAGCUACGCAGCACCGUAUCUAGAAGUUAGUCUUAGUCUAGCAGUUCAUAAAUAAAGAUCGCCAGUUUUUUUAACUUACUCCGGGCUAUCGUAUACAUAAUUAGUUAUUUGCAGUAGAUUAUUUAUUCUUUUUUUUAAACUUAUAUAAUGGCUAGUAGUGUUAUUUGCGUAUUCAAAAUGUGUGUUUGAUAGUAUUACAUAUUUUUCUUGUGGUUAUUAGCGAAUUUCUAUAUUGUUAAAGAGAUUAUCUGACCAAGCAGCGUUUAGAGUGGUGUUUUAGUGUCGAUGGUUUCUUUAAGCUAUAGGUAAGUUGAAUAUUGUCUGUAUCGCUGCCCUUUUUCUUAUACUUAUUGCGCACUUUUAUAAGA